GUCAAAAUUGAAACCAAAGACAAUAGGAUGCGAAGAACAAACUUGCAGACACCUUGUCAGCGUUUUCAAGGAACUCGCACGGAAAAUGAACAGUGGGGAGAUUACAACUUUUUUGGAUUCUCUAAAACCCUGUUUUCAGGGCAUGGUUACUGCUAUGUACACAAAUUUAUUGUCGGAUGUUUGCAAGUACUAUCAGAAUGAGAUGGAAAGGCAACUUGACAGUUAUAAGGAACUGGAGGAUCUGAAUGCACUCCAUGAGAAGGUUACUAAAAAGGCUCGGGACAAAGUAA